GUGGGGAAUAUUGGACAAUGGGCGCAAGCCUGAUCCAGCCAUGCCGCGUGAGUGAUGAAGGCCUUAGGGUUGUAAAGCUCUUUCGUCAGGGAAGAUAAUGACGGUACCUGAAGAAGAAGCCCCGGCUAACUUCGUGCCAGCAGCCGCGGUAAUACGAAGGGGGCUAGCGUUGCUCGGAAUCACUGGGCGUAAAGCGCACGUAGGCGGCUUUCUAAGUCAGGGGUGAAAUCCUGGAGCUCAACUCCAGAACUGCCUUUGAUACUGGAGAGCUUGAGUUCGGGAGAGGUGAGUGGAACUGCGAGUGUAGAGGUGAAAUUCGUAGAUAUUCGGAAGAACACCCGUGGCGAAGGCGACUCACUGGCCCGUUACUGACGCUGAGGCGCGAAAGCGUGGGGAGCAAACAGGAUUAGAUACCCGGGUAGUCC
rnacentral:rRNA from 1 species